AACGAACGCUGGCGGCAGGCUUAACACAUGCAAGUCGAGCGCCCCGCAAGGGGAGCGGCAGACGGGUGCGUAACGCGUGGGAAUCUACCCAUCUCUACGGAAUAACGUAUGGAAACGUGUGCUAAUACCGUAUACGUCCUUCGGGAGAAAGAUUUAUCGGAGAUGGAUGAGCCCGCGUUGGAUUAGCUAGUUGGUGGGGUAAAGGCCUACCAAGGCGACGAUCCAUAGCUGGUCUGAGAGGAUGAUCAGCCACACUGGGACUGAGACACGGCCCAGACUCCUACGGGAGGCAGCAGUGGGGAAUAUUGGACAAUGGGCGCAAGCCUGGUCCAGCCAGGCCGCGUGAGUGAUGAAGGCCCUAGGGUUGUAAAGCUCUUUCACCGGUGAAGAUAAUGACGGUAACCGGAGAAGAAGCCCCGGCUAACUUCGUGCCAGCCGCCGCUGUAACAC
rnacentral:rRNA from 1 species